GCUGCUCCAGUCCAGGGGCUGGGCUGGGAUUGCUGUGGUUGGCUGGUGUGGCUGCUGCUUUUUGCUUAGAGGAUUGGAUUUGAGCACUGAAGGGGGUGAGUGAGUGUAUGUGAUUAAAAAGUAAGUAAAAUAUCUGGUCCUGAGCUUUCCAAAUGAUCAUGUUGCUUGGAGGCCCUUUGGAGCUCCCAGUGGUCUCUGCACCUACGAUUUCGGUAGGUCCCUGACUUCUGGUGAUCCUCAAGUUGUUUGCAGAGCUGCUCUAGGCUUUGCUGAAGGACUUGCUGGUGGACCAAGCUUGGAGAGGAUGAAGUUGUUGUAAGGCAUAGCUGUGCCUGGUCUCCGUUGUGCUAGUUGCUGUACAUGGGUAGCAAAGCGUUGGUUUGGACUCCCAGAUGUUUUUUGUAAAUCUGCAUAAAUGUUCAAGUGGUACUGCUUUGCAGCCUCGUUUCAUGCUUACCUUCGUUGUUUCAGAAGUUUUCAGCAACACUUCAGGUAGUGGCCAGCAAUUUUCUAACCAAUGUUAUCUCUGCUGGGCAGGGAAAGCAAAAGACUAGUUGGGUAAGUUCUUGUGAACUGCUUGUGAAUUUCUAUAAUUUAUACUUAACAGUGUAAAUCUCUGGCAGGUACACUACUGCUGCUAGGGGUGGCUUUGAUAGAUGUUUACAUGUCAGUGUCAGACAUUGAUAGAGAAGUUCUUCCUGUAGCAGAAGUGCCAUUAUGUGAGGUCAAGGAGAUUUUGGCAGUGGCGAAGAUUUUGGUGGUUUUUACUCAUAAACUCGUAAUUGUACGGUUGCAAAUAUGUAAUCAAUUUUUAAUCAUUUAAAUGAUUUUAAUCUUUUUUAAAAAAUCAUUAAUAUAAUAAUUUUUAAUCAUUAAUCAUUUAAAUCAUUUAUUUUAAACAAACAAAGAAAGCUUUUUGCCCUCAGAAGUUGACUGUUGUGAUUUCAGAUGGAAUAAUAGAUGGGUACAGGUGGUAGCCACUGAGCACUACCAAGCCUGAUUGGCAGAGCUCUUGCAGACAUCACAGCAGGUGAGGGUGUUAGGUAGGGUCUUAAAGGAACCUACCUAACACCCUUCUAAAGGAACUUUGUUGGACAAAGCAUGUGAAAACAAGCAGGCAGUAGCGGAGGGCAUCCUGGUAGCUGACAGUGGGGUUUGAGCUCUAUCACGACAACUUCGGAGUGGCUGCUGUGUGGUGUGAACCUCUAGCGUUGGCCAGGAAUGCAUCAAAACUCAGGAGGGGAGUGGGGAAAAACAUAAAUACUGGCUGAUACAAUCCAAGCCACUCAUACACAUCUAAAUUACUGCCUUGUAAUAUGUUUAAUGGAAAAGUAGUUGGGCAAGAGUUUGGUUUUUGGGAAGAAAAAAAGUCGGUUCAUUUUAGUGUCUAAUUUUAUACUGAAAGCAAACUUUCUUGUUUGCCCUCUGAAGUCAGCAGCAGUAUGAUGGGUCUCUGGGGGGGCAGCAGAGCUGGCCGGAAGCGGCCUGCCAGGGCUGCUCUGGGAUUUGUUUUCUUUUGAUUAUGGGAAAAAUAGCCCGAGAUAUUUCUGUGCAUGCAGAGCAUUCUUAAUGACUGAAAAAUCUGUUGUCAAGUAGGGACAAGGGGGAAGUGCCAUCUUGAAAGACAACAAAAAUGUGUUUGGAUUAGGUCUGAAAACCCAAACAAAUUUAUUUUUAGUGACUUCCAGAAGCUUCUAUUUAAAAAAAAAAAAAAAGAGUUGCACGGCUAAACCUGGACUCGCUGCACUGGAGUUUAGUGGAGUUCACGGAGACGUGCAGCAGCAGGCAUGGGAAGAGGGUGUCUUCCACUGCCUCUGAGAUAUCAAUUACUGAUUUCCUUCACAAUUUGUUAAGCAAGAAACAUAGCAGAGGUGCUGUUAUACAACGUGGGGGAUUUGAUAAGGCUUUGUGCCAGCCUGUGGCUCCAGACAGCCAUGUUAGAAAAGGAGGACAGACAGGAUGUGCAGCUCUCCCAUUUCCAAUGGUGACUGGGUGGCUGGCUCUGCCGCCUGCAGAGGGAGGCUCUGGGAAGGAUAGAGUAUGCUCCACAGGGGUAUCUGUUUUGAAAUAACUUUGAUAUUUCCACUGGAAAAACAUCCUCUGGUGCCAUUCCCAUGUCCUUCAAAGUCAGUGCACUUGGCACCAUGUGGGAGGCUGAGCAGUGGCCAUCUGCUCCUCAAACUGUGCCACUGGCCACGUCACCUCUGGCUCUCCCAACUUCUGUCUUUGAUUUUUAGCUCAACUGACUGCAAGUUUUUUUUUUUAUCUGAGACCCAAACCCCAGGACACACAGAAGGGUGCCUCUUGCUGUGCUCUUGAGGCUGUGUUUCGUUGCAGCAGGCUGCAUGGUGGUAUCUCUGAAAGCAGUCUCCAGAAGCAGUGCAGGAGUUUGGUCCUUGCUGUCUGCUGUAGCCUGGCAGAGCCCCUGUGCCAUUCCUGCCUCCUCUGCUGCCUGUCCUUGAGCACAUAUCUGCAACUUGGAUGGGGAGAAUUUCCCCACUGGUAAAAUGGGAUAUUUAGUAAACUUCAGCUGGAGAGGGAGUAAGAAAAAUGUACAAUGCCAGAUAACAAAGCGUGAGGAAAUGUACUUAUCUACGUGCAAGAGUUGUUAUCUCCUGCCUCCAAACAAUGAUGUUGGGAUACAUUUAAAAUACUCUGUAGAUCUUUGCCACUGAAUCUCACCGUGGCCUAUUCCAGUCUAAAAUAAGGUAUUUCCACAUUACAGCCCUUCAUCCUAGUUACACCUCUACAUGUGGAUUCAUGUUUUAUAUGUAUGUUGAAUACAGUAUGUAGUAUAAGCAGUAAGCUCGUGUAUAUGGGUUUGGGGAUAUUGGGGGUGGGAGGUGCUACUAGAAGAAACAAAACCUUUGCUACUUCCACAGGCAGCUACAAAGGACUGUGCACUGAUAGCACCACAGAGAUGCUGGAUGAAGCAUUAAGAGGCUGUUCUUGCUGUUGCAGCAAGAGCUUAAUGGCUUGCUGUGCUUUUCCUCUGCUAAUAGGGACAGCAGCUGGCUACGUGUUCAUAUGCAAGGCUGCAGCUGAAGUGCUGGCUCAAAGAAAACAGCAGUCUUGGGUACUCCUGCUUCAUGCUCCCUGAUGGUGCCUGCUCAGCCUGCAAGUGAGUUCCAGCUGCAGGAGAUCCUUAGACCUGGGAUACAAACAGCCACAAGACAUUUGGGAAAGAGCAUAUGGAAAUUACUCACCGCAGUGCGGGAGAAGUGAGAAAAAGGAAAAACAUAGCCAGGCAUGGAGGAGUGCUGCCACUGUCAUUGUUUUGGAAGACCGUCAGCAUCUCUUGCUGUAGGACACCAGUGCCCUUUUCUACCUCAUGCCAUUAUAGAAGCUUAGUGGAUUUUUAUUUUUUUUUCCCCAGGAUCUGUGUCCACUUGUAGAGCUGGUGUGAAGGUAAAGGUAUGGGCAGCUAUGAUCCAGCCAGCUGGUGUCUCAAAAAGAAACCUGCAGCACUAAAUGUGAGCAGCUGACUUUGCUGGUACCUGUCCGACUGGGCCACUUAGAAAAUGCUGUAGCGGUGGGAAUGAGCCUGCAAUUCCAGCUUCCUCAAUGCCACACCCAAGGGAAUAUUUAAGGCAUCAACUUCUGGACAUAGUUGGAGACAAGAUACCAGUGCUGCCGAUCCUUCAGCCUGACAGAUCCUCACAGGACCACUGUGUACAUGGUAAAUGUGACCAUCUGUGCCGUGAAGCUGGAGGCAAGAAAUAGGCAGAGAGCUCCAAAAGAAUUUGCUGUUUGGGCAAGAGGCACAUGUACUUCUGUUUCCCUCUGAGGCUGGUUUGGUGACUACAGACAAACAGGUAAUGCUUGCAAAUGCAGAGAAAGUGUGCAUGCAGCCAGUGCCCACUCUUUGGAGGGCAGGCCUCUUAGGUCAAACUGUAGGAACAGGGCACUAGUUGCAUUGUAAUUCCAUUCAAAACACAGUUCUCACAUUAAA